CAAGCAGAUGGCAGGUGUCAAUGGGGACAAAGAGCCAUCUGCGCAGCGAGGCUGCCCCACUGUCUCUCACAGGGACUUCAUUAAGAUAGCUGAUGAAAAGUUAAGUACCUAUGCUGGUUGGGUUUUGUCAAUUUGACACAAACCUGGACAUAUCUGGGAAGAUCCUGGGAAUCUUAACUGAGGAAAUGGCCCCGUAAGCUUGGCCCGUAGGGAGCUCGGGACUAUUCCACAUUCCCCGCCUUCUGCUGAUUCCCAGAAUCAAGGACACCUGAAACCUGCCAGGGAGCCUGCCCCCAGUUUUCAUCACCAGCAUCCUCAGAUACUCUGGACGUGGCCGUUGAGAUUCUGGCUGAGGACGACGACGUGAUAGGAAGUAGGACCAUCUAAGGCAUCCUGGGGAUUCUUUCAUCCUGAGUUUCCACCCAAGGUUCCUCAUCACCUCUGCACUAGGCAUCUGUGACGUCCAAGGCACUGCUCCCACCAGCUUUACUGCCUGCUCACAUUGGUACAUGCCUCAGAAAAUGCUUCAGUUCUACCUGCUCUCAGUCGCCCGCUCCCAGACUCCAUGGACAACUCACUUCCUCAUUCCUUUCGAGAGACAGAUUUUUCCAUUUCUCCAUAGUCAGGAUCCAGGUGGGGCUCACAGGAAGGAGGAACGCCAUGUCUGCACACUGCUGAGGGACAGUGGUGAAGACUUUUUUUGGCAGCACCCAGCCUGGGCCUUACAACUAAAGGUUUGCCUUGAGAAGAGGAAACUCAGGACUUUUAAACAUUGGACUUCAGAGCUGGAUACAACAGGGGCUGAUGCCAUGUUUUGGAAAGUGUUCUCUCUCUCUCUCUCUCUCUCUCUCUCUCUCUCUCUCUCUCUCUCUCUCUCUCUCUUUCUCCCUCUCGUUGGUUCUGAAACACUCACAGGUAUAUUUAACCUAUUACUUGUUAUUUGCCUGUGUGGAAAAUGUGAAGCUCCUCAAUAAUCAGAAUGAGAAGAGUAUUCCCAAAGCUCCACUACAUAUGUACAGACUCACACUUUCCUGACACAGGUAAAUAAUCUCAAACUCCAAAUACAGGCUCUUCUGUCCUUUCCCUCCCUCCGCUUCCUCCAGCACCUCUGGCCUUACACUCUGUACCUGGAGUCUGAACAGUGAUUAGAAGUUGCGAUGGGAAGAGAGAAGUUCAGGAUGGUUGGAUUCUGUCUGCAAACGGUGAUGAAGAGCAGUGUGGAUUCUGUGCAGGGUGGGGAAUGGGUCCUCUGCAUCUCCCAACUGCCCAGCAGGGCUGAGGCCGGUGGGGCAGAUCUAGUGCUCCACUGCUCACUCUGUAGGCCCUAGAGAACAUCUGUUUUCAUUCCUCAUCUUCAUAAUCAUAACUACAUUCGUCAUCAUCUUAGUUCAAAUACAGGAAAGGAAAAUAACCCUUUAAAGUUUCUUCUCAAUAUGUUUUGAAAUCUUAUUUAAUAGUUUUGAUUAUACAGUGGUUGUUGAAUAAACACAGCAACAGAACAAUGCUAUA